rnacentral:rRNA from 1 species
GACGAACGCUGGCGGCGUGCCUAAUACAUGCAAGUCGAGCGAAUCAAUGGGAGCUUGCUCCCUGAGAUUAGCGGCGGACGGGUGAGUAACACGUGGGUAACCUGCCUGUAAGACUGGGAUAACUUCGGGAAACCGGAGCUAAUACCGGAUACGUUCUUUUCUCGCAUGAGAAGAGAUGGAAAGAUGGUUCUGCUAUCACUUACAGAUGGACCCGCGGCGCAGUAGCUAGUUGGUGAGGUAACGGCUCACCAAGGCGACGAUGCGUAGCCGACCGGAGAGGGGGAUCGGCCACACGGGGACUGAGACACGGCCAAGACUCCUACGGGAGGCAGCAGUAGGGAAUCUUCCGCAAUGGACGAAAGUCUGACGGAGCAACGCCGCGUGAGCGAAGAAGGCCUUCGGGUCGUAAAGCUCUGUUGUUAGGGAAGAACAAGUACGAGAGUAACUGCUCGUACCUUGACGGUACCUAACCAGAAAGCCAUGGCUAACUACGUGCCAGCCGCCGCGGUAACAC